CCGGCAGGCUCAGCAGCCCGGCCAAGGCCAGGGCCAGCUCCAGGCCUGCCAUGGCUCAGGGAGGCCACCGCGCCUGUGAUAGCCCUGAGAACUUCCUUGUACUGUGCUAUCAUUUCCCGAAGCAUUUCCAAAGGACUUGAAAUAUUUCCUGCCUUCCAUGUAAUGCUGCAUCUGUCAGAUGGGGAAACCAAUGCAGCAGGCAGUAUAUUGCCACAUCCAAAGUCACCUGAAGUUUUAUAGCAGGAGAAUCCAGAUCUUCCCUCUCCUAAAAGAUGAAACAGUACCUGCAGUGAGAAGUCUGUACACAGUCACGUGUUUCUUUUGGCCUAUUCUCCAAGCACGUUCCCGAGCCUGGAACACAAAAGGUUUUGUUACCAGACAUUAGCCUCUUAAACGUUUAUUUGACAAAAAGCUAUUGAUACCACUGUUUCAAACCUGGUUUGGACAUUCAACACACAGGUCAAGAAGUUACAUGGCCAUGAUACAGUAUUAGAACAACUAACUCAGUGGAAAGCAGAACAAUUUUGAAAGUUUACAUAUGUAAAAAGACAGGCCUCUAAUUGUCCCAAUUGUACAAAAAAACCUCAAAAAAUAAACUGUAUUAAAACUGGAACUUGUAUCUAUGAUACAUACUUUAUAUGGACUUAUUCCCAAAGAGAUCUAUUUCACAAUAGAGCUUUAAUAUACACAUUUCCUUUGAACUUUUCUUCUUUUUCCAAACUGCAGGCUUUCCUAAAAACAUCUGAACCAACUACUAAAACUGACCACUCUAGUCAGAGUACAUACUUUCACAGCCCAGAGCUAUGUAGGAUUUCCACCAAAG